rnacentral:rRNA from 1 species
AUACGUAGGUGGCGAGCGUUGUCCGGAAUUACUGGGUGUAAAGGGCGUGUAGGCGGGGAUGUAAGUCAGAUGUGAAAUCCCAUGGCUCAACUGUGGGGCUGCAUCUGAAACUAUGUCUCUUGAGUGCCGGAGCGGGAAGCGGAAUUCCUAGUGUAGCGGUGAAAUGCGUAGAUAUUAGGAGGAACACCAGUGGCGAAGGCGGCUUUCUGGACGGUAACUGACGCUGAGGCGCGAAAGCGUGGGGAGCAAACAGGAUUAGAUACCCUGGUAGUCCACGCCGUAAACGAUGGAUACUAGGUGUAGGAGGUAUCGACCCCUUCUGUGCCGGAGUUAACACAAUAAGUAUCCCACCUGGGGAGUACGGCCGCAAGGUUGA